rnacentral:rRNA from 1 species
UACGAAGGGGGCUAGCGUUGCUCGGAAUUACUGGGCGUAAAGCGUGCGCAGGCGGUUUUGUAAGUCUGACGUGAAAGCCCCGGGCUUAACCUGGGAAUUGCGUUGGAGACUGCAAGGCUUGAAUCUGGCAGAGGGGGGUAGAAUUCCACGUGUAGCAGUGAAAUGCGUAGAGAUGUGGAGGAACACCGAUGGCGAAGGCAGCCCCCUGGGUCAAGAUUGACGCUCAUGCACGAAAGCGUGGGGAGCAAACAGG